GGAAGGGUGGCUGAGUGGACGAAAGCGCUGGUCUUGAAAACCAGUGAACUCUUACGGGUUCCGUGGGUUCGAAUCCCACCCCUUCCG
rnacentral:tRNA from 1 species